GGAUGUAUAGCUCAGUGGUAGAGUGCAUACUUAGCAUGCACAAGGUCCUGGGUUCAAUCCCCAGUACCUCCA
rnacentral:tRNA from 1 species